rnacentral:rRNA from 1 species
UAUGUUUAACGGCCGCGGUAUUUUAACCGUGCGAAGGUAGCGCAAUCACUUGUCUCUUAAAUGGGGACCUGUAUGAAUGGCAUAACGAGGGCUUAACUGUCUCCUUUUUCAAGUCAAUGAAAUUGAUCUCCCCGUGCAGAAGCGGGCAUAAUAACAUAAGACGAGAAGACCCUAUGGAGCUUUAGACACCAAGGCAGAUCCUGUUAAGUAUACCUUUAAUAAAGGAUCAAACCAAAAGAAGCCUGCCCUAAUGUCUUCGGUUGGGGCGACCGCGGGGAAACAAAAAUCCCCCACGUGGAAUGGGAGGUUCCUAUUUUUUACCUCCUAAAACUAAGAGCCCCCGCUCUAGUAAACAGAAUUUCUGACCAAAAAUGAUCCGGCAAUGCCGAUCAACGGACCAAGUUACCCUAGGGAUAACAGCGCAAUCCUCUUUUAGAGCCCAUAUCGACAAGAGGGUUUACGACCUCGAUGUUGGAUCAGGACAUCCUAAUGGUGCAGCCGCUAUUAAGGGUUCGUUU